rnacentral:misc_RNA from 1 species
UCACUACUUGCGUAGGCAGUCUGGCUAGAGUCCCCACCAUCACGUGCUGGUAACUAACCACAGGGGUUGCGCUCGUUGCGCCACUUAAGGCAACACCUCACGGCACGAGCUGACGACAGCCAUGCAGCACCUUCCCAAAUGCCCCGAAGGGACACCCCGUUUCCGGGGCCGUCAUCUGGGAUUUAGCCCAGGUAAGGUUCUUCGCGUUGCAUCGAAUUAAGCCACAUGCUCCACCGCUUGUGCGGGCCCCCGUCAAUUCCUUUGAGUUUCAUUCUUGCGAACGUACUCCCCAGGUGGUGUGCUUACUGCGUUAACUGCGUCACUGACCCGGCUUGCGCCUAAGGCCAACAACUAGCACACAUCGUUUACAGCGUGGACUAC